AAGCGAUUGAAACUGUGCCUUUGGAUACACGUAAAGUUUUCAAUAUUUUUAUAGCAGACUUUGAUAGAAACAAAUUAAUGUAGAGACCGCGUUAUGGCGAUAUCAAAUAUUAUUUCUGUCAAACGUUUGGUGCCUAAUAACAACCAGUUAAAAAAUAGAAAAUUUCUUAGCCAAAAAUUUCUUUUGAAAGGCGAUAAUGCCUCGAUACAAUGUUUUUUCUAACAUAGAAAUGCGAGGCAUCAUAUAUGCGUAUGUGCCCAAGAAAAUUUAAGCGCACGAAGAGCACGCCGAUAUGUGGAUAUGUUUCCAAAUAGAAAGCAUCCUAAUGUCAACACUUUCAAAAACAAAAUAAAUAUUUGUCGUGCUACUAUUGAUCUUUUACGAAAUAAGCUGAUCGAGCUUUUGGAACAUCUCCCCUUGCAAUUACAGAGAUACAUGAAAUCAGGUAUUUAUCAAGACACAAUCAAUACUCGGAGGAGACAUGGGAAAAAAAGCAGAAUGCAGCAGAAUUACUUCAAAACAACAUAUUCUUUAAUAUCAAGGAGUCAGUCUUUCGAUAAACGGAUAGCUAUAUUAUAGAAGUUAACGAAGACCAACUUCAGCGCUUAUUGUAAGAUAAAAACAUUAUAAUUUCCAUUGCUGUUGAUAUUAGCGUUUUGUUCUUGUUCCAUAUUCUUCUAUGUAAUCAUAUUAUAAUUAAUUUAUUUUA